CGGACGGGUGAGUAAUGUCUGGGAAGCUGCCCGAUGGAGGGGGAUAACCACUGGAAACGGUAGCUAAUACCGCAUAACGUCGCAAGACCAAAGAGGGGGACCUUCGGGCCUCUUGCCAUCGGAUGUGCCCAGAUGGGAUUAGCUAGUAGGUGGGGUAACGGCUCACCUAGGCGACGAUCCCUAGCUGGUCUGAGAGGAUGACCAGCCACACUGGAACUGAGACACGGUCCAG
rnacentral:rRNA from 1 species